rnacentral:rRNA from 1 species
GACGUAGGGGGCAAGCGUUGUCCGGAAUCAUUGGGCGUAAAGAGCGUGUAGGCGGCCCGAUAAGUCCGCUGUGAAAGUCCAGGGCUCAACCCUGGAAUGCCAGUGGAAACUGUCGGGCUGGAGUCCGGAAGAGGCGAGUGGAAUUCCUGGUGUAGCGGUGAAAUGCGCAGAUAUCAGGAGGAACACCAAUGGCGAAGGCAGCUCGCUGGGACGGUACUGACGCUGAGACGCGAAAGCGUGGGGAGCAAACAGG